rnacentral:rRNA from 1 species
UCAAGCUGAAAAGAGCGCAAGGGGAAUGCCUUGGCAUCAGGAGCCGACGAAGGACGUGACAAGCUGCGAUAAGCCACGGGGAGGAGCAAAUAUCCGUUAUAUCCGUGGAUUUCCGAAUGGGGGAACCCGCUCAAGCAAUACUUGAGCAUCGUGCGUUGAAUCAAAUAGGCGUACGAAGGGAACGGCCUGAACUGAAACAUCUAAGUAGGGCCAGGAAAAGACAUCAACCGAGAUUCCGCUAGUAGUGGCGAGCGAACGCGGAGGAGGCCAAACCAGAGGAUUUUAUUCUCUGGGGUUGCGGACAGACAUCAUGACCAGAGGAAGUUAGGAGAACGGCGUGGGAAAGCCGGCCAUAGAAGGUGAGAGCCCUGUAUCUGAAAAUGAAGACUGGCAGUCUGGAUCCAGAGUACCGCGGGACACGUGAAACCCCGUGGGAAACCGGGUGGACCACCAUCCAAGCCUAAAUACUACCUGAUGACCGAUAGAGGAGCAGUACCGUGAGGGAAAGGUGAAAAGAACCCCGGGAGGGGAGUGAAAUAGUACCUGAAACCUUGUGCUUACAAGCAGUUACAGCCCGUUAAAGGGUGGUAGCGUACUUUUUGUAGAACGGUCCGGCGAGUUAUAGUCACUAGCGAGCUUAAGACAUUCAGUGUCGGAGGCGUAGGGAAACCGAGUCUGAAGAGGGCGUAUGAAGUUAGUGGCCAUAGACCCGAAACCAUGUGACCUAGCCAUGAGCAGGAUGAAGUGGAGGUAAAGCUCCAUGGAGGUCCGAACGCACGUUCGUUGCAAUGACCGGCGAUGACUUGUGGCUAGCGGUGAAAUUCCAAUCGAACUUGGAGAUAGCUGGUUCUCCCCGAAAUAGCUUUAGGGCUAGCGUUGGGAAUGAGUUUAGCGGAGGUAAAGCACUGAAUGAGCUAGGGGGCGCAAGCUUACUGAACUCUAUCAAACUAAGAAUGCCGCAUAAAUGCUUCCCAGCAGUCAGACUGCGAGUAAUAAAAUCCGUGGUCAAAAGGGUAACAGCCCAGACCCACAGCUAAGGUCCCCAAUACAUGCUAAGUGGAAAACGAUGUGAGAUUGCAUAAACAACCAGGAUGUUGGCUUAGAGGCAGCCACUCGUUCAAAGAGUGCGUAAUAGCUCACUGGUCGAGUGAUCUUGCGCGGAAAAUUUAACGGGGCUAAGCGUAUAACCGAAGCUUGGGAAUGUCGAAAGACAUUGGUAGGGGAGCGUCGUGUAUGGGGUGAAGUCGCAUCGGAAGGAGCGGUGGACUGUACACGAGUGAGAAUGCCGGAAUGAGUAGCGAGAAUUAUGUGGGAAUCAUAAUGGCCGAAAAUCUAAGGUUUCUUGGGGAAGGUUCGUCCGCCCAAGGUAAGUCGGGAGCUAAGGCGAGGCCGCGAGGCGUAGUCGAUGCACAUACGGUAGAAAUUCCGUAGCCACCUCACACGAGAAAGCUGACACAUGGAGAUAGUCGAACCCGGCCGUUGGUUGCGCCGGGCGAAAGGGACCGAACUUAUAGUAGGGAAGUCGAUGAUGCUCUGUGGCGAGAAAAGGCGAAGUGAGGUGCCCGUACCGCAAACCGACACAGGUAGAUGAGGAGAGAAUCCUAAGGCCAACGGGAGAAGGGUUGUUAAGGAACUCGGCAAAUUGACCCCGUAACUUCGGAAGAAGGGGAGCCCCGAAAGGGGCCGCAGUGAAUAGGCCCAAGCAACUGUUUACCAAAAACACAGGUCUCUGCUAAAUCGAAAGAUGACGUAUAGGGGCUGACGCCUGCCCGGUGCCGGAAGGUUAAGAGGAGGGCUUAGUGGCAACACGAAGGCUUGAAUUUAAGCCCCGGUAAACGGCGGCCGUAACUAUAACGGUCCUAAGGUAGCGAAAUUCCUUGUCAGGU